rnacentral:lncRNA from 1 species
CUGGCGCUGGCACCGGCGGUGACGGCACUGGUGGCGGCAGUGCUGGCGGCGGCGGCAAUGCUGGCGGCGGCGGCAGUGGUGGUGUUGGCGGCAGUGCUGGUGGUUGCGGCAGUGCUGGUGGUUGCGGCAGUGCAGGUGCUAUUGGAACAGGAGGUGAUGCCGGUGGCACUGAUGGUGGUGGAGUAGAGACUGGAGGUGGUGAGCUUGGAGGGCUUGAGGAGGGUGGUGGUGUCACGGCUGGAGG